rnacentral:rRNA from 1 species
GGAUAACCUUGCGAAAGUAAGACUAAUACCCAAUGACGUCUCUAGAAGGCAUCUGAAAGAGAUUAAAGAUUUAUCGGUGAUGGAUGGGGAUGCGUCUGAUUAGCUUGUUGGCGGGGUAACGGCCCACCAAGGCAACGAUCAGUAGGGGUUCUGAGAGGAAGGUCCCCCACAUUGGAACUGAGACGCGGUCCAAACUCCUACGGGAGGCAGCAGUGAGGAAUAUUGGUCAAUGGACGAGAGUCUGAACCAGCCAAGUAGCGUGCAGGAAGACGGCCCUAUGGGUUGUAAACUGCUUUUAUAAGGGAAUAAAGUGAGUCUCGUGAGACUUUUUGCAUGUACCUUAUGAAUAAGGACCGGCUAAUUCCGUGCCAGCAGCCGCGGUAAUACGGAAGGUCCGGGCGUUAUCCGGAUUUAUUGGGUUUAAAGGGAGCGUAGGCCGGAGAUUAAGCGUGUUGUGAAAUGUAGACGCUCAACGUCUGCACUGCAGCGCGAACUGGUUUCCUUGAGUACGCACAAAGUGGGCGGAAUUCGUGGUGUAGCGGUGAAAUGCUUAGAUAUUACGAAGAACUCCGAUUGCGAAGGCAGCUCACUGGAGCGCAACUGACGCUGAAGCUCGAAAGUGCGGGUAUCGAACAGGAUUAGAUACCCUGGUAGUCCGCACGGUAAACGAUGGAUGCCCGCUGUUGGUCUGAAUAGGUCAGCGGCCAAG